rnacentral:rRNA from 1 species
CCUACGGGCGACAGCAGUGAGGAAUAUUGGUCAAUGGCCGGAAGGCUGAACCAGCCAAGCCGCGUGAAGGACGAAGGUGCCAAGCAUUGUAAACUUCUUUUGUCAAGGGACAAAAUCAGGCUCGAGAGCCUGACCGAGGGUACUUGAAGAAAAAGCAUCGGCUAACUCCGUGCCAGCAGCCGCGGUAAUACGGAGGAUGCGAGCGUUAUCCGGAUUUAUUGGGUUUAAAGGGUGCGUAGGCGGACUGUUAAGUCAGCGGUAAAAGCCCGGGGCUCAACCCCGGCGAGCCGUUGAAACUGGCGGUCUUGAGAUGUCGAGAGGUAUGCGGAAUGCGCAGUGUAGCGGUGAAAUGCUUAGAUAUUGCGCAGAACUCCGAUUGCGAAGGCAGCAUACCGGCGGCGAUCUGACGCUGAGGCACGAAAGCGUGGGUAUCGAACAGGAUUAGAUACCCCAGUAGUC